GAGUUUCAUUAAUAGACCGAGCUUCACUCCGUUUCCCAGAGAAAUAAAAUGCAGCUGCACAGUAAGACUCUCCUCUGUUCUGGUAAAGAUUACAGCUUCUGUUUUGUUUACAUAUAUUUGUGAUUUUCAUGUACAUGCUUCCUCAAUCAUAUAUACUUGCACUCAAUUAAGCUUCAUUUUUUCCCUUUCUUAUGUAUGUUUUCAACUUUGCCACAUCGAAGCCUUCCGAUCAAGAGAUUGAUUUUUCUCUAGAAAACAGGAGCAGUUUGCCUAAUCAAAUACUGGAUUUCUUUAUCUAUUAAUGGGAAGCAAGUAUUCCAAGGCAACAACUUUCAUAAAUGAUGCUUCAAAUUUGAGUUAUCGCAUUCCCUUUGAAAGUUUUCGAGUUCCUUUUGUAGAUUUGCAGGAAGCAACCAACAACUUUGAUGACAAGUUGUUAAUUGGAUCUGGUGGCUUUGGGAAGGUUUACAAGGGUGUUUUGUGUAAUGGCACAAAGGUGUCCCUGAAAAGGCGUAAGCCUGAGUCCACACAAGGUAUUGAAGAGUUCCAAACAGAAAUUGAGAUUCUCUCAUUCUGCAGCCAUCCGCAUCUGGUUUCAUUAAUAGGAUACUGUGAUGAAAGAAAUGAGAUGAUUCUAGUUUAUGAGUACAUGGAGAAUGGGACCCUCAGCAGCCAUUUGUAUGGGUCAGAUCUACGUCUACCCACUAUAAGCUGGGAGCAGAGGCUGGAGAUAUGCAUCGGGGCAGCCAGAGGUCUGCACUACCUCCAUACCAACGCAGUUAUGCAUCGUGAUUUCAAGUCUGCAAACAUAUUGCUUGAUGAGAAUUUUGUGCCAAAAAUUACUGAUUUUGGACUAUCCAAGGAAAGGCCUCAGCUUGAUCAAACUCAUUUUAGCACAGUCGUCAAAGGAACUUUUGGCUACCUUGACCCUGAAUAUUUUAGAAGGCAACAACUGACAGAAAAAUCUGAUGUUUAUUCUUUCGGUGUUGUUUUAUGCGAAGUUCUCUGUGCUAGGCCUGCCUUAAGUCCAUCUCUUCCGAGGGAGGAGGUCAGCUUAGCUGAAUGGGCAGUGGAGUCGCAUAGUCAGGGACAGUUGGAACAAAUCGUAGAUCCCAAUCUUGCGGCCAAAAUAAGACCAGAGUCCCUCAGGAAGUUUGGAGAAACAGCGGUGAAAUGCUUAGCUUUGUCUAGUGAAGAUAGGCCAUCGAUGGGUGAUGUGUUGUGGAAACUGGAGUACGCACUUCGUCUCCAAGAGGCCGUUAUUCUAGAUGAUCUUUAUUGCAAAUAGCGGCGAGCCAGGAUUUUCAUCAAGGGAAGUCAAAACAUAAAAGAAGUAAAUAUACGAGAAAGAGUUUUGCUUGAGUCUUGACACCCCUCCGGCGAGGAUAGCUCCAGCCCCUGACUACAAGUCAUUGAUUUCAGUCAUUUGAUGCUCAGAUUUGGAUGAUCUCAUCCAAUUCGAAUGAUCCUCUGCUGCUGAAUAGGGGUUUCUAGCCAUUGAUUAAGUCUGAUGGUUGACAACUAAGUGAAAAUGGUGCAUACCAUCCUAAGGUGUUUGUUAAUUCCACUUUUGUUCAGGGAUCAUAUAAAGAUCUAUUGUUUGUUUUUGUAACAGCCUUCUGAGUUUUAUAUAGAAAGUAAACUUUGAAAUCUUGAAUUGCUCUACCUGUGGAUCCUUCUUUCAUUUUAUUAGGUGU